AGGACGAAGGCCACGAAGAUGGAGCCGACGAUCAGGAACGGCACGUAGACGGGCUCUGGAGGAGGGGGAGACACAAGGCCCGGGACCCCCGCUUUCAAUUUCAGAAACUGAAACACACGUGACUUGUGGUGGAGCCUUCCCUUGUGAAUGAAUUGAAAGCAGCACAAAACCCUGGAAGAUCAAACAGUCCAUCAGAACCUCAUUAAGUGCGAUGGAGACCUGAUGCAAUAAAAAUAUUUUCUCUACUACA